rnacentral:sRNA from 1 species
AAAAUUAAACUUUUCAUCGCGAGGGCUUUGAUUUAACACUAUAUGUCAAUAUUUUUCAAAAUUGAUGGUAGUAAAAAAGAGCGAAAAAGUUACAGCGCGUAUUAUUUUAGACUUCAAAAGAUUAAUCUGCAUUUUUCAGAGGCGGAUGGUAAAAUUACAAAAUAGAUGAGUUAGUGGUUUUUUUUU